rnacentral:rRNA from 1 species
UACGUAGGGUGCAAGCGUUGUCCGGAAUUAUUGGGCGUAAAGAGUAUGUAGGCGGUGUUCUAAGUUCGGUGUGAAAUCUCCCGGCUCAACUGGGAGGGGGCGCCGAAGACUGGGAUGCUGGAGUCUCGGAGAGGAACGCGGAAUUCCUGGUGUAGCGGUGAAAUGCGUAGAUAUCAGGAGGAACACCAGUGGUGUAGACGGCGUUCUGGACGAGUACUGACGCUGAGAUACGAAAGCGUGGGGAGCAAACAGG